CAGGUCAGCAUACUGCCGUGAAUACGUUCCCGGGCCCUUGUACACACCGCCCGUCACACCAUGAGAGUUGGGAAUACCCGAAGCCUGUGAGCUAACUGUAAGGAGGCAGCAGUCGAAGGUAGAAUCAAUGAUUGGGGCUAAGUCGUAACAAGGUACC
rnacentral:rRNA from 1 species